rnacentral:rRNA from 1 species
UUUGUUUAUUUAUUUAAGGUCUGACCUGCCCACUGAAAUUAUUUUAAGGGCCGCAGUAAUUUGACUGUGCAAAGGUAGCAUAAUCAUUAGUUUUUUAAUUGAAAGCUUGUAUGAAGGGUUGGACGAGGUAAAUUCUGUCUCUAUUUAAUUUAUUAUAGAAUUUAAUUUUUAAGUUAAAAAGCUUAAAUGUUUAUAAAAGACGAGAAGACCCUAUAGAUCUUUAUAUUAUAAUUAAUAGUUUUAAUAUAGAAUUUUUUAUUUAUUAUUAAUUUUAAUAUUUUAUUGGGGUAAUAAAAAGAUUAAAUUAAUUCUUUUUUAAUAUAUUCAUUUAUUUAUGUUUAUAUGAUCCAAUUAUUUUGAUUAAAAGAUUAAGUUACCUUAGGGAUAACAGCGUAAUUUUUUUAGAGAGUUCAUAUCGAUAAAAAAGUUUGCGACCUCGAUGUUGGAUUAAAAAUUAUCUUAGGUGCAGAAGUUUAAGAUUUUGGUCUGUUCGACCAUUAAAUUUUUACAUGAUCUGAGUUCAGACCGGCGUAAGCCAGGUCGGUUUCUAUCUUUAUUUUAUUAAUAUAUUUUAGUACGAAAGGACCAAAUAUUUAAUAUAUUGAUAUUUUAAUUUUUUGAAUAUUAU